rnacentral:rRNA from 1 species
AUUGAACGCUGGCGGCAUGCUUUACACAUGCAAGUCGAACGGUAACAGGCCGCAAGGUGCUGACGAGUGGCGAACGGGUGAGUAAUGCAUCGGAACGUGCCCAGUCGUGGGGGAUAACUGCUCGAAAGAGCAGCUAAUACCGCAUACGAUCUAUGGAUGAAAGCGGGGGACCGUAAGGCCUCGCGCGAUUGGAGCGGCCGAUGUCAGAUUAGGUAGUUGGUGGGGUAAAGGCUCACCAAGCCAACGAUCUGUAGCUGGUCUGAGAGGACGACCAGCCACACUGGGAAUGAGACACGGCCCAGACUCCUACGGGAGGCAGCAGUGGGGAAUUUUGGACAAUGGGGGCAACCCUGAUCCAGCAAUGCCGCGUGCAGGAAGAAGGCCUUCGGGUUGUAAACUGCUUUUGUACGGAACGAGACGGUCUGGGUUAAUACCCUGGGCUAAUGACGGUACCGUAAGAAUAAGCACCGGCUAACUACGUGCCAGCCGCCGCCGUAAGAC